rnacentral:rRNA from 1 species
AGCAGCCGCGGUAAUUCCAGCUCCAAUAGCGUAUAUUAAAGUUGCUGCAGUUAAAAAGCUCGUAGCUGAAUUUCGGGACCAUCAUGUUGGUCGUGCCUAGGUACGUACUGGCAUUGUUGGUUUCUCCCUUCUGACGAACCAUGAUGUCAUUUAUUUGGUGUCGUGGGAAAUCAGGACUGUUACUUUGAAAAAAUUAGAGUGUUUAAAGCAGGCUCACGCUUGAAUACAUUAGCAUGGAAUAAUGAAAUAGGACGUUUGAUUCUAUUUUGUUGGUUUCUAGGAUCGACGUAAUGAUUAAUAGGGAUAGUUGGGGGCAUUAGUAUUCAAUUGUCAGAGGUGAAAUUCUUGGAUUUAUUGAAGACUAACUACUGCGAAAGCAUUUGCCAAGGAUGUUUUCAUUAAUCAAGAACGAAAGUUAGGGGAUCGAAGACGAUCAGAUACCGUCGUAGU